AGAGUUUGAUCCUGGCUCAGAUUGAACGCUGGCGGCAUGCUUUACACAUGCAAGUCGAACGGCAGCACGGGAGCUUGCUCCUGGUGGCGAGUGGCGAACGGGUGAGUAAUGCAUCGGAACGUAUCCAAUAAUGGGGGAUAACGCAGCGAAAGCUGUGCUAAUACCGCAUACGCCCUGAGGGGGAAAGUGGGGGACCGCAAGGCCUCACGUUAAUGGAGCGGCCGAUGUCAGAUUAGCUAGUUGGUGAGGUAAGGGCUCACCAAGGCGACGAUCUGUAGCUGGUCUGAGAGGAUGAUCAGCCACACUGGAACUGAGACACGGUCCAGACUCCUACGGGAGGCAGCAGUGGGGAAUUUUGGACAAUGGGGG
rnacentral:rRNA from 1 species